rnacentral:misc_RNA from 1 species
AGAGCAGAUUCCGGACGUCGUCGUUUCGAUGUUUUGCUUUGCUUUGUUGCCUUCUUUGUGAAAUUUUCGACGAUCUGAACUGAAAUUUGUUGCUUUCAGCUUCUUGUGGUCAAAUUCGAACAUUAAUAGUUGGAGACUUCACAAGAGAAAUCUAGCUUUGGACGUUGAGAAGAUUGGUUUUGAACUCAGUGAAAAAAGGGAACCAUGAGUACACAACUUUUAGAAAUCCUGCCCAGGGAACUGAAAUUUAUAUUUGAA